rnacentral:rRNA from 1 species
GUAACGGGGUGUUAGGGCACGACACCGGAGAGGGAGCCUGAGAAACGGCUACCACAUCCAAGGAUGGCAGCAGGCGCGCAAAUUACCCAAUCCCGACACGGGGAGGUAGUGACAAUAAAUAACAAUACGGGGUCCUUUCGGGUUUCGUAAUUGGAAUGAGUACAAUUUAAAUCUCUUAACGAGGAACAAUUGGAGGGCAAGUCUGGUGCCAGCAGCCGCGGUAAUUCCAGCUCCAAUAGCGUAUAUUAAAGUUGUUGCAGUUAAAAAGCUCGUAGUUGAAUUUCGGGAUUAGUACGUCGGUCGUGCCUUAGGUACGUACUGGUGUUACUGGUUCCUACCUUCUGACGAACCAUCAUGUCAUUAAUUUGGUGUGGCGGGGAAUCAGGACUGUUACUUUGAAAAAAUUAGAGUGUUUAAAGCAGGCUCGCGCUUGAAUACAUUAGCAUGGAAUAAUGAAAUAGGACGUUGACCCUAUUUUGUUGGUUUCUAGGAUUGACGUAAUGAUUAAUAGGGAUAGUUGGGGGCAUUAGUAUUCAAUUGUCAGAGGUGAAAUUCUUGGAUUUAUUGAAGACUAACUACUGCGAAAGCAUUUGCCAAGGAUGUUUUCAUUAAUCAAGAACGAAAGUUAGGGGAUCGAAGACGAUCAGAUACC